rnacentral:rRNA from 1 species
UACGUAGGUGGCAAGCGUUGUCCGGAUUUACUGGGCGUAAAGAGCGCGCAGGCGGUCGUUCAAGUCGCGUGUGAAAGCCCCCGGCUCAACUGGGGAGGGUCACGCGAUACUGAUCGACUCGAAGGCAGGAGAGGGUAGUGGAAUUCCCGGUGUAGUGGUGAAAUGCGUAGAUAUCGGGAGGAACACCAGUGGCGAAGGCGACUCCCUGGCCUGUUCUUGACGCUGAGGCGCGAAAGCGAGGGGAGCAAACGGG